AUGGGGCGCUACUGGGGGCUGUGGGGCACUGGAGCCGUGGGGCAGAGGAGCGAGAGCUCCCCAUCGCGGCUAUGGGGCAGGAGAGGGGUCGCCGUGGGGCAGAGCUGCGGCCACGCGGUCAAGGUGACGUCUCCUUCCGUCUUCCCGUUGGUGGCCUGCGGCAGUGGUCCCACCCCGGUGGUGGCCUGUCUGGUGGGCGGGUACUUCCCCGAGCCGGUGACGGUGACGUGGGACAGCGGGAGUGUCCCCUCGGUCAGCCGGAACUUCCCCGCCGGCCACCUGGCGUCGGGACUCUACAGCUUGGGGAGUCAACUGACGGUCACCUCCGGCAACCCCACCCGUCUGCAGUGCACCGUCCAACACCCGCCCUCCCGCUACAGUCGGACCAUCAACGUCCCAGUUACCGUCCCCGAGGUCCCCACCGUUGGUUUCUUCCACUCUUGCGACAUCUCCUCGGUCCAACUCGUUUGUCUCAUCAACCACUUCUCCCCGGCCACGGUGACGGUGGAGUGGUUGGUCGAUGGCUUCCCGGUCUAUCCCAACCCUCCGUCCGAGCCCGUGGAACCUGAGGCCAGCGGUAGGACCUUCCGGACCAGCUCUCACCUCAACGUCUCCUUGGAGGAGUGGCAGCAGAAGACCUACACCUGCAAGGUCACCCACCCCGCGUCCGGCAUCACGCAGGAGGUCGUCGGCCACAAGUGCUUGACUUCUCCUCCGGACGCCAACAACAUCCAGGUCUUCAUCCUCCCGCCCACCCCCUCGGAACUCUACGUCUCCCAGACUCCCAAGGUCCGUUGCUUGGCCACCAGUUUACCCAGCGACGACGGGCUGGUGGUCACCUGGACCCGGAGACAGGGUGGGACCCUCCGACCCCACCUUCUCGAGCUGAAGGCCCAGUACAACGGGACCUUCACGGCCACCAGCGAGGUGCCCAUCUCCACCCGGGACUGGGAGAACGGCGAGACCUUCACCUGCACCAUCCAGCACAACGACCUGCCCUCCACCCUCAGCAGGAGCAUCAGCAAGAGGCCUGGCAAACGCCUGACGCCCAGCGUCGCCCUGCUGCCCCCGCCCCCCGAGGAGCUGAGCGCCCGUCGCGACACCCUCAGCCUGACCUGCCUGGCGCGCGCCUUCUACCCGGAGGACAUCUCGGUGGAGUGGCAGAAGAACCAGGACGCGGUGGACGCCGGGAGUUACGACGUGACGGCGCCCAUGAAGGAGAAGACGGGCGACGCGUCCUACUUCGUCUACAGCCGGUUGGGCGUGGCGAGGGACGCGUGGCUCCAGGGCAACACCUACGUCUGCAUGGUGGUCCACGAAGCUCUGCCCAUGAAGUUCAUCCAACGUAGCGUCAACAAGCAGCCGGGUAAAAAAUGAGGGUGGUGGCAUCUGACCCGGCUUCGGUAGAGCGACCACCUCCCGAGUUCCCGACGCGGUGGGGAAUAAAGGAGAAGAAGUCAG